CCUACGGGAGGCAGCAGUGGGGAAUAUUGCACAAUGGGGGAAACCCUGAUGCAGCGACGCCGCGGGAGUGAAGAAGUAUUUCGGUAUGUAAAGCUCUAUCAGCAGGGAAGAAAAUGACGGUACCUGAUUAAAAAGCCCCGGCUAACUACGUGCCAGAAGCCGCGGUAAUACGUAGGGGGCAAGCGUUAGCCGGAUUUACUGGGUGGAAAGGGAGCGUAGACGGCAGCACAAGUCUGGAGUGAAAUGCCGGGGCUUAACCCCGGAACUGCUUUGGAAACUGUGCAGCUAGAGUGCAGGAGAGGUAAGUGGAAUUCCGAGUGUAGCGGUGAAAUGCGUAGAUAUUAGGAGGAACACCAGUGGCGAAGGCGGCUUACUGGACUGUAACUGACGUUGAGGCUCGAAAGCGUGGGGAGCAAACAGGAUUAGAUACCCUUGUAGUC
rnacentral:rRNA from 1 species